CACCAACCCAUCUGACCUCCCAGCCUGAGACGGGGGCGGGGGGGGUCACUGUGAAGUCAUCUCAGGAUGAGGUCCCACUGCCUCCCCAGGCCACACUGCCAGCGCGGCCAGGUCCCCAAGCCUGGGCCUUGCCUAUGAGGAAGGCGCCCUCUGGGUCCUCCCUGGGAGGCAGCAUGGCACACGGCCCAAGGCUGUGGAGGCCAUCACCACCCCUCUGCACCCGAGGCCUCCAGGUCCCAGGGGAAGCCACGGCCACAGGCUGCCCUGGCCAAUGUCACAACAGCUCCUGCCGGCACAGAAGAGGACAUCCACGGCCUGGCCAGACCUUCCGACUCCCACUGCUGCAUGCGAGGGCUGACCCCGAGAAGUGGACACCCACAGUCCCCCUGUCCUGGCCUCCUUGCCGGCAGGGCAGCCAGAGCACCUGGAGUGCAGGAGGGCCGCCGCCCUGCUCGUAGACGGCAUGCCAUCACAGCGCUGUCCUCAGCACCUGGACACCAAGCCCUGCCAGCUCUCCAAACCCCAGCAGUGACAUUUCAGUCAACCUUCAGGCACCUUCUGAAACACCAGGAAAACAAGGGAACGUGAACUUGCAGCCCAUGCCUACAGACGCAGGCCCUUCCAGGGCAAGAGCUCUCCCUCUGAGGCUGGCCGAAAGGAAGGCAGCCGGUGUCAGCAGCGGAGCACUUUGGGGUCUCAGCAGUGAGCAGAUGCCCAGCCUAAGGAAGGAGCGGAAGAUGUGAGCACGAUCAAAGACAGAUGGACAGCCACCAGCCACGUGACAGUGUCCACGUGUCCUCACAGCCAUGCAGGGUAAGCAAGGAGACGUGGUCCACGGGAGGCACACGGGUGUCCAUGGGGGGUUCACGGGGUGUCCAAAGAGGGUGCAUAGUGAGUGCACAGGGGGUGCAUGAAUGUCCACGGGUGGUGCACAGGUGUGCACAGGGGGUGUGCAUAGGGAGUGCACAGGGGGUGCAUGGGUGUGCAUGGGUGUCCACGGGGGGUGCACAAGAGGUACGUCGGGAGUGCAUGGGUGUCCACGGGGGUGCAUGGGGUGUGCACAGGGCAUGCAUGGAUGUGCACAGGGGGUAAACGGGGCACACAGGGAGUGCACGGGGUGUCCACGGGGGAUGCACGGGGUGUGCACAGGGAGUGCGGGGGGGGGUGCAUGGGGCGUGCAUGGGUGUCCACGGGUGAUGCACGGGGUGAGCACAGGGCAUACAUGGAGUGCAUUGAGUGUCCACAAGGGGUAAACAGGGGGCACAUAGGGAGUGCACGGGGGGAUACACGGGGUGUCCAUGGGGGAUGCACGGGGUGUGCACAGAGGGUGCAUAGGGGGUGCAUGGCUGUCCAUGGGGGGUGCACAGGUGUCCCCGAGGACAGAGAGGGACCACUAGCAGGUGACACGCGCACAGAAAGCACACUUGGGAAUGUGUCCUCACCCUGCCCACGGUGGCUGAGUGUCUAUGGGCCUAACAGCCACCUCUAUCCUCUUUCCCGGGAACACGAGUUCCGUUGGAGCAGCACUGGCCCAGGUGAAGACGCCUUUCCUCCUGGCUCCCUUGCAGCUAGGCCUGGCUCUCUGAGCUGAUUGUAGCCCAAGAUUCCACAGAAGCCUAAGCUGGGCUUCCCGGAUAAAGAGGGUACACGCCCUUUGUCCCAGUGCCAGAGCAGCAGCCUCCGGCAUCCACAGGGAACAGCAGUCACAGCUGCAUGUCUGCCCUGGCUGGGAGAAGAGGGACACCAGAGCGUGCCUGGUGGUCUUGGGCUGGGCACUAGCACGGACCUGCCAUCAGGGACAGAGGCCCUGCGGACAGCCUCGAGUCUACACUCCGGCUUCGGCUGCUUCCGGAACACGGCGGGGGACGUUCUGGUGAACCCGAGCAGCACUGUUGGCUGCCUGGGCUAGGUGACAGGGCCCCGGGGGAGUCACAAAUCCAGGAGAAGCCUCUGUGCCCACCCUGCCCUCCACCCCUCCAGUGAUCCCAGGACCCAACCUAAACAGGACCCUGGGUAAGGUCAGCAGACAGCGCCAUCUUCCUGGCCCUACCCCACCAGGACCCUAACAGCACACCGGAGCGGGGACGACAACCACACGGUGGGUGGUGACAGGGGCCGUACCUCCCUGAGCAUGUGAGGCGUGUGUCCUGUGGGUGGGCCAGUGAGGUGCUCCCCCCACACACAGAACAAAGAAAUAACCCUAAGAUGCUCCGGAAACCAAGCAGUGUACCUACUGGACACAGCAGUACUACGACCCGGCAGCUGGCGGUGAGGGGCGGGCAGAGUGAGCCCGAGCACUGCCGUGCCUACACACCAUGUCCCCAGCAGCUCAGGGGCCUGGUGGGGCGGGCGUGGGGGGAGGGGACCCCCAAGCCUUGGUUAAGCCAGCAGCGUGGGUCUCCUCAUAGAACGUAUGGCCCAGCCCUUCCUGCAUGGGCCAACUCCCCGGUCACCUGGGCAGGCAUGGGGACAUCGCUCACUGGGGCCCAGCCACCCCUCUCCUGCCAGCUCAGGGGGUGAAGUGGACCCCAAGGCAGGGCAGAGACCCCUCUCUGGGCGAUGCCUUCAUAGGAGCCGGUCACAGAGCCUGGGCAUGGGGACCCUCUGGGUGGUGCAGACGCUGGGGCCAGCGAGGACUCAGGUGAGGCAGAGGCCCAGCUGAUGAGCCUGGGGGCAGCUCGUAGAGAGCAGAGCCAACGGCUCCAAGCUCCUGCCAACCCUCCUGGAUAAGGAAGGGCUGCAAGAACAGGAUGCCCCAAGACAAGGAGGCCCACGACCCGGGUCCACCCACUGGCAAGUCCGGACGGGGCAGUGAGCAGGGAUCAGAGGCGAGAGGUGGGCUGAGGCAGGAUGAGCCCGAGAGAGCCCAGAGUGGAAGAGUCUGGCUCCCAAGGCCUCCCUGCACCCCACCAAGGUGCUGGGGGCUCCAGAAUGCACAAGGCUGACAGCUGUGGGAAGGGCCCCAGGACGACAGGCGCCCAACCCCUGGGCCGAGGCUGUACAAGCCGUGCCCACAGGCCCACGUGCAGGGUGUGGCAGGCAGGGCACCCAGGGACGGCACCGCCCAGGAAGCCCAGCGGAUGACAACGAACCUCAGGGAGGAGGACGUGCCUAGGGGGGCGGGAGUCCUGCCUGACUGCGGGACCAGGGCAACACCAAGGUGUCUCUGGAGAACACUGACUUCACAGACGUCCCUGUCCAGGGCUGCGGUCCCCGCGCCCCCCGCCGUGACUCGCUGUGCCUAGAAGACAGAGCGCAUCUCAGGGUCCCACCCCGAGGAGGGCAUGUUGGGGGCUCCCACCAGAGGAGGCCGUGUGCUGGCUCCCACCCCGGGGAGGCCGUGUGCUGGCUCCCACCGGAGGAGGGUCUAAGGAAUCACUGGUGGCCGAUGCGCCAUCACACCCUGUCUUCCAACACAACCCUGGCCCACUGGGCUCUGGGCCUACAGGACAGCAAGCAGCACGGAGCAUCCAGGGUGGAGUCCUGCACGCUGUCCGGAAUGGCCUGUGAGAUGCUGGGGGAGCCCUGAGGCCGACUGUGGACAGGGUUGGCGCUGGCCUCUGCUGUGCUCCCCUGCCCUGGCCAGCCGGGAUCCCUUCAGGGCCCACGUGGGGCCUUGGGAACUAUAAGCAGGCACCAGAGGCCCUGUGCCUGCUCUGUCACCUCCUGUGUGUCCCGCGUUCCAUGGGGCCCAGGACCGUCAGCCAUGCUAGGGCACGCAGGCCCUGGUCACUGGCACAGCCUUGAGGGCAGAGCUGAGCUGGGCUCCAGGGCCAUGCCGGGCAGGGACAGGCCCAGCCUGGUGCUGUCUCCCUGUCCCAGCCACAACCCAACGCGGCAUCGAAGCCUGAGUCCUGGGACCUGGAAGGCCUGGGGAUAACCGGGCAUUUCUGCUUUAAACGAUGAGCAGCCACAGAGAGGAGACCCCCCAGGUGCCACGGUAUCCCUUGGGGGUAGGGUCCUAGUGAGAGAGGGGACCAGCUUGGAGUCCCAUCUGCCAAGAGUCCUCCCCUCCCCUGCAUGACCACGGGCUGCCCAUGUCUGGCAGGCCCCUAUGGGAGCCCAGGCCACCACGGCCCUCCCAGUAGCUAUUCCAGGCCUGAGUCCCCUCCGGGAGGACGACGGGGUGAUUGGAGGCUAAACUUAGCCACGGGCAGACAAUGGUGGUCAGAAUCACAGGUCGGCUGAGGACAAGCGGCAGUGAGCUCUCUGCGGUGGGGAGGUGGUGUGAGCAAUAAAGGGAAUCGAAAAUGAAAACCCAUCUGCAAGAGGCCGGCCCUGCUGGGACUGGCUGUGCAGCAGCUGAGGUGGGCCUGCCAGAAGGCGCCCUCUGUGAGUAGGGACCGUCCGUAGCCAGCACUCAGGAGCACAGCUCGGCUCAGACAGCCCUGAGGUCAGUGGCUGGGAAAACCCAGCAAGACCCUGCACCCCGGGUACAAGCCAGUGACAGGUCACAGGGCCAGCCUGACCCAGCCCAUCCCGGCACCCCUUCCCUGCAGGCCGCAACUGUGGGAGGCAGGCACGCCCCAUCCAGGCCCUGUGCGUGCUUGUGAACCGUCCUCUGCUGGCCCAGGGAGCCCCACAGCCCCAGGCUUGUCUAUGCUCACCCCGGUGAUGCCCACAGCUUUGCUUAGGAGCCAGCUCAGUCUGCACGACCCUCUGGGUACCCUGGUGGCUGAUCUGGCCCACUUGCCAAGGCCAAAGGAGAGAAGCCAGCCCCCCCGAUUCAGACGAGGUCCCCACAGAGCCGGGACGGAUCACCUGGGGCCCUUGUGUGGCGCUGGGUUCAGCUGCUGUGAUGUGCAGGCGAGGAGGUGUGACGGGGACCCGGUCGCCGCUGGACCAGGCCAGAGUAUGGGGUGGUCGCAGGCAGGUGGAUGGACCUGCAGAGCCCAGGACCUCCAGACUGAGGGCCCCAGCGCUGUCCACCGGCAUCGGCAGAGGCCGCUGCCAGAAACCCCGCUCCAGCACAGCUGCUGUCCCGUGGCCCUCCUGACCCCGACAGCACCGGCCGCUGCCUGGACGCCGACGCAGGAGCUUGCUCUGCAGAGAGGGCGAUUCACCCUGCAGUGCGAGCGCCUUUGUGGGCUUCUAGGUGAGGCACCCUGGGCUCAGACCCCAUCAGAAUGUGAAACGGAAGGCGGCCCAGAGGAAGCCACCUGCAGGCCCCAGCUUUUAUGUUAAAAUACAUCAGGGGACUUCAAAAAGCUUGUAGGUAAACGGCGGUAAAGCAUACACUUACUUUGCUGCAAAAAAUCCUUGAAAUCCAUGCAUGGUUUUUAUGGAAUGUGCACUUCCCAUAAGCUUGCUGAAGCUCCCUUGUAUGUGUGCAAAAACAUUGCAUGCGGCACUAGCAGGUGGUGGGACUGAAGUUACCGAAUUUCCUGUCACUGGCUCUCCUCUUGACCCUGGCCUGCCUCCCACAUCACCUCUAAUUAACACACUCCAGCUCAAACCAGAGAUGACUCACACAGGGUACCGCACACGCUCCGCAGCUGGGCCGGCACUGCCUCGGGACUCGGCCUGCUGGAUGGGCUGAGCACCGCCCAUGCCACGCUGUUCCCACCACUGAGCGGCCGGCCAUGCGUAGAGGACCGUGUGCCUGGCUUUCUCAGGCCCUGACCCGACGGGAUCUGCCCCCAGGUUCGGGGCUGGUGGGUUUGGACCAUUUAAAUAGCGAGUCAUUCCUGGAGACGCGUGACACGACGGCCCUGCAGCCCUCCUCCCCGUGCUGGUGCCCCUCAUAGGCACAGUGCGAGCAGCCAGGCUGCCGGGCCAGUGAGGCAGUGUGGCCCAACACCCCGGGACGCUAGCCCACACAGGAAUGUCGCAGUGUCACGUCCUAAGGUUUUUCUGUACACACUGAGCACGUGUGCACCCGUGACCUGGGGAGGCAAAGACCCAGUUGGGGUCCUCCCUUUCUGUCUCAUUCUCUCAGGGAAGAGAUAAAUAAACCCAAGUAAAUAAAUAAAAGCAGAAAGAAACAUGGGGCUCUUUCCCAUCCAGAGCAGUCGUGACCCUGGGGCCCUGGGCAGUGACCAUCAGGUCUACACCCCAGCCUGCUGUGGGGGCAUCUCAGAGCACGCCAGGCCUCAGUCCCCAUCAGCUGGGACCACCUCUGUGGCCCUCUCCAGGGCUGUACCUAGACUCCAGCUGUUCCUCGGCCUCCAGGUCCCAGACUCUGAAAACAGAAGUGGCUCUCUGAAAGACACGUACGCACACCCCGCUCCAAACACACCAACGUCUGUGCUCCAUGGUGGACACUGCAUGGUCCGAGGCCCGGACAGCACAGGGACCAGUGCAGACACCGGAGCUUGCAGGGUAGGCGCUGGGCGGGCUCGGGGAGGCCCUGGAAGAGACCGAGUGUCGAAGUUCUCUACGAAGAUGCCGUACACGGGGUACCCAGAAAAGCAGUCAGCGUGUAAGUAAAACGGAAGGAGACCAAGGUGGAGGCGCCGUGGGGACACGGUACACAUCAAGCUACCCCACUGAGUGGGCCGGCCUGGGACCGCUGCCUUCACCCCAGGCCCAGGGAACCUAAGUCCCCACGCCCCAAAUACGUCUGUCUGGCUGCGGACAGGACUUUAGUGCAGUGUCCUCGCCCAAAACGUGUCCACCCUCCUCUGUGGCCGUACUGAGACCACACUCAGACGCCCACCUGCCAGCUAAGGGGAGAACCAGGGCGGGUUCUGGAGGUGGCCCGUGUGACAACGGGGCCUGUGUCCAUCCUGCCCACCCGUGCAAAUCCAUGCUUCUGCCGAAUCCCAGGCAACUGCCGAGUCGUCCCCUGCGGGGCCUGCUGUGCACCUCACCGUGAGGGCACCGCUGCCUGAGGGCGGGAGGACCCCCAGGGAUCUGCCCCAGGGCUUCCCUCGGGGCAGACGGGUACCAUGUCUCGCAGACGUCCCAUGUCACUGCAAAGGCUGGUGCAGUGACAUGGCGGCUUCUGGGUACAGUCCAGCCAAGGACACGUGGCCGACCACACGCCAAAGCCGAACCUCGCGUGGACUCCGGGGUACUCGAGCGCACCUGCUCUGUGAACUCACACCCGGGGGCACACAGGGGCGGCGCUGGACGGGGUUGGCGCCCACGUGGGCCGCCAGGUCACCCUGCCCCACCCAGCAGUCGUUGCCCACCUUGUGACCUGCACAGGUGGGUCCCCGGAGACGCAGUGCCAGCCUCCCUUCCCUGCAGGGCGGCAGUCCAGAUGGAGCAAUGCCUGCAGCCAUGACCCUGCAAAGUCAGGGUCAGGGAGGAGGCAGCAGGUCUUCAAGGUGACCCGCCUGGUCAUGUGCACUCUGUGGCCUGGUCUGGUGCUUGAGCCACCCCAACCCCCGGUUCAUACGGUGACUCCUCCUCCUCCCAGGUGAGGGCCACGGGAGGCCAUGAGGCCACAGCGGGUCUCAGGACAGGGUCAGUGCCCUGAGAGCUCACCAGCUCUCCCACCAGGGGCGACCCAGAAUCCUGGCUCCAGCACGCAGAGAAAUGAGUCCUACAGCUUACACGCC